UGUGCCAGCAGUNGCGGUUAUACAAUGAAGGCUAACGUUAAUCAUAAUGGUUUAAAGGAUUUGUAGAAUGAAUAUUUAAAUAAAUAUUUAGAGUUAAUUAAAAUAUAAUUAAAGAAUUAUAAUAGUAAGGAUGAAAUAAUAAUAAUAAUUAUAAGACUGGUAAUAAUGAAAAUAUUAAUUAAUAAUUAACUGACAUUGAGAAAUGAAAACUAAAGUAGCAAAACAGAUUCGAUACCUGUGUAGUUUUAGUUGUAAACGAUGAAUACAUAUUUUAUAUAUAAUUUUUAUAUAUAAAAUAAAAUGAAAAUUAAAGUAUUCCACCUGAAGAGUAUAUUAAUAAUAAUGAAACUCAAAACAAUAGACGG
rnacentral:rRNA from 1 species